CAGGCCGCCCUGCAGGUCCAGGUCAGCGUGGCCGGCGUGACGGGUCAGUGCGCCAGCGACUGUCAGGUCACGUACGACGCCGCGCUCAACUCUCUGGUCACCGCCGUCACAUCGGAAAUCGAGGAUGACACAGGAGACGUCACCGUGGCCCUGACCGGGGUCAACCUGGGCUCGACCACCGAGGGGGUCAGUGUGACCUUGACCGGCGCCAUGGCCACCCGCAGCUGCACCGUGACCUCUGCCACGAGCACCCAGGUCACAUGCACCGCCAACAGCGUGCAGGCGGGGAGGUACAACGUGACCCUGACCGUUUCCAAUCAAGGCAUGGCUUCCGGUGGCGGCUCUGUGGACGUGACCCCGCUGUUGACCUCGGUGACGCCGGGUCAAGGCAGCCCGCUCGGCGGUACCGUGAUCUCCGUGCGGGGCCGCCGGCUGCCGCACGCCCUGGCUGGCUGGCAGUUUGGCGAAGUCA
rnacentral:lncRNA from 1 species